UUGCAGGUAUUUGUACCUCGGCGUUCAGUAGCUAUGACACACAGAUGACAGCGAUGGCAUAGGAAAGCCGUGUGUGUGAGACCCGUUUCUCUCACGUUUAUUCAGGCACCAUGCUAUACGCCCCACCUGAAUGGAUCGAGGAAGGUAAGUAUCACGAUUGCGCUGCAACGGUGUGGAGCCUGGGUGUCCUUUUGUUUGUUCUAGUGUGUGGAGAGCUGCCAUUCUGGAAUGAGAGGGAGAUCGCUGCUGGACACCUGAUCUUCAAAGCUGGUGUGUCUAAGGCCUGCCGUCAUCUGAUCAGACGCUGCCUGGCGAAGGAUCCGAAUAAGAGACCCAGCCUCGAGAUGAUCCUGGAGCACCCUGGUUUCCAGAGAUCCUUAGGAACUAAGUCCAGUGCGCACGGUCCCGCCUCGUUUCUCCAUCCCACCCAGCGACCAGGAGGUGAUGCCCAUGGGCAGCGUCAACCUCAACUGCGUGGCGGUGGGCGACCCCAUGCCCUACGUGAAGUGGAUGAGGGGAGACGUGGAGCUGACCAAGGAAGAUCAGAUGCCCGUGGGCCGGAACGUCCUGGAACUGACCAACAUCAGCAAGUCGGACAACUACACGUGCGUGGCCAUGUCGCUCCUGGGCAUGAUCGACGCAACCGCGUAGGUCGUUGUCAAAGCUCUCCCUAAACCCCCGGCGUCGCUGAUGGUAACGGAAACCACGGCGACCAGCAUCACCCUGACGUGGGACUCGGGCAACCCCGAACCCGUCUCCUACAACAUGAUCCAGUACCGACCCAAGUCGUCGGACGGCAGCUUCCAGGAGGUGGACGCCGUGGCCACCACGCGCUACAGCAUUGGCGGCCUGAGCCCCUACUCCGAGUACGAGUUCCGCGUCAACAACAUCGGCCGCGGGCCGCCCAGCGAUGACGUGGAGACCCGGACGAGCGAGCAGGCGCCGUCCUCGCCCCCGCUGCACGUCCAGGCCCGCAUGCUGAGCUCCAGCACCAUGCUGGUCCAGUGGGAGCCGCCGGAGGAACCGAACGGUCAGAUCCGAGGCUACCGCAUGUACUACAGCACCGAGCCGGACGCCCAGCUGAGCGCCUGGCAGAAGCACAACACGGACGACAGCAGGCUGACCACCAUCUCCGGACUCAUCACCGACGUCACCUACAGCCUCCGCGUCCUGGGCUUCACGUCCGUGGGAGACGGGCCGCCGUCCGACGUCCUGCAAGUCAAAACUCAGCAGGGAGUGCCAGCGCAGCCGAGCGAGUUCGAGGCGGAAGCUGAGCUGGAUACCCAGAUCGUGCUGAAGUGGCUCUGGCCCGUUCAGGACCCCAUCACCCAGUACGAGCUGCAGUACUGGGAGGACGGGUCCCUUAACAAGUUACGGCAGCACUUCUGUCAUGCUGGAACAUAGAAGCUCCACGUGACCUUCGACCCCAUUGGUUCGUACACGGUGGAAGGUCUGAAGCCCGACACGCUGUACAAGUUCUCCCUGGCGGCCCGUUCUGAGAUGGGUCUGGGCGUGUACACCAAACCCAUGGAGGCCAGAACCGCUCAGUCCAGUUCGUACACCAAGAUUACCGUCCAAAACUACCAUCCUUAAACGGCGUCCAACGUCAGCGAUGACGUAGCCACCAGGAGCUACGCUUCUAACUACACAUCUACAGGUGUAGUUGGAACUACAGAACUUUACCACAGUAGUUACGAACGUUCGUUGGAACUAUGCUUUUGAGAAACACCUGUGUCGUCUUACGAUGUUUUGAACUAUACAACUUACCAACGUAGUUACCACAGUAGUUCGAACUAUGGUUUCGGGAAACACUUGCAUCACAACUGCAUCGUUCCAACUAUGUAAGUUGCUACCGUAGUUAUCAACUACGCUUUUGGGAAACGCACCCCUGAUUUCUAUACAAACACAACAAUGUUCUUCACCUCCUACAAACAUUGUUUCUUUAAAAACUUUUUUAAUAUUUAUUUUAUUUUACUUCAUAAACAAUAAAUACAUCUGUAAUAAUUUGAGAUUAAUGAACUACUAAAGUCUUGUAU